UAAGACAGAGGUGCCAAGCGUUAGGCGGAAUCACUGGGCUUAAAGCGUGUGUAGGUGGACUGGUAAGUACCUUGUGAAAUCCCACGGCUUAACCGUGGAACUGCUCGGUAUACUGCUGGUCUUGAGCAACUUAGGGGCGAGCGGAACAAAUGGUGGAGCGGUGAAAUGCGUAGAUAUCAUUUGGAACGCCAAUGGUGAAAACAGCUCGCUGGGAGUUUGCUGACACUGAGACACGAAAGCCAGGGGAGCAAACGGGAUUAGAUACCCCGGUAGUCCUGGCCGUAAACGAUGUCCACUAGAUCGCAGGCCUCUGACGGUAUUGCGGUCGAAGCAAAAGUGCUAAGUGGACCGCCUGGGAAGUACGGUCGCAAGGCUA
rnacentral:rRNA from 1 species